rnacentral:lncRNA from 1 species
CUUUGACACGCUCACCAAACUUUCCUCCAAAACGUUUCUCUGCUUGCAGCCAUGUCAGCACUUUCCCUCUCUGCUCACAGCACACUGCUGCCAGGUGACUCGGGGUUUCCACCCAUCAUCUUCUAUGACCCAAACAAUGACAGAACAGUUCACCUUUUCCCAGCGUUACGCCAACUUUGUGCUUUUCCUGCCUUUGUUUCCAUCAGCCAAAGGGGCAAUGAGGAGCUGCAGCCCCUUCCUGCCAACACCACAGCCCUCCUGACGUUGUCAUCCAGGGUUUAUUCUGCAUCCUUGCACACUACUUCACAUUGUUAUCUCCAGAUUCCAUAAAUGCAGUGAAAUAAAGGGGACACCGUUCUGAGAAAUUCUGAUGCAACUCACUAAAGUAACCCUGUUAUAUAAAAACCAUGAGAUACGUGCACAGAUGGCAAGGUUAAUUGCAUU